rnacentral:rRNA from 1 species
AGGGUUUGAUCAUGGCUCAGAAUGAACGCUGGCGGCAUGGAUUAGGCAUGCAAGUCGAACGCUCUCUUCGGAGAGAGUGGCGAAAGGGUGAGUAACGCGUGAAUAAUCUACCCUCAAGUUUGGAAUAACUGUUGGAAACGACAGCUAAUACCGGAUGUGAAUACUAAGAUGCAUGUUUUAGUAUUUAAAGGUUUACUGCUUGAGGAUGAGUUCGCGUCCCAUUAUGCUAGUUGGCGAGGUAAAAGCUCCCCAAGGCUAUGACGGGUAGGUGGUCUGAGAGGAUGGUCACCCACACUGGGACUGAGAUACUGCCCAGACUCCUGCGGGAGGCUGCAGUCGAGAAUCUUCCGCAAUGCGCGAAAGCGUGACGGAGCAAUGCCGCGUGAGGGAUGAAGGCUUUCGGGUCGUAAACCUCUGUCAGGGGGGAAAAAUAUUGAUUGUACCCCCAGAGGAAGCCACGGCUAACUACGUGCCAGCAGCCGCGGUAAUACGUAGGUGGCGAGCGUUAUUCGGAUUUAUUGGGCGUAAAGGGUCCGUAGGGGGAUUGCUAAGUCAGGUGUGAAAUUUCGGGGCUCAACCCCGAACCUGCACUUGAAACUGGCAAUCUAGAAUCCGGUAGAGGUAAGUGGAAUUUGUGGUGUAGCG